ACAUUGAAACACCGGAUCCCGUAAGAUCGCCAAAGUUAAGCAACGUCGAGCCUGUUCAGUACUUUUGAUGGGUGACCUCUUGGGAAUACCAGGUGAUGUAA